rnacentral:lncRNA from 1 species
AAUAAAACAGCAAAUGUGUUAUGCAGUGGUGUGACUGUUAUUCUCAGUAUAUGACAAAUAGCUUCCAUCCUGAUGCCUAAAGACAAAGGUUCUCAAGGGUUACACCUAUUAACUGGAAGCCAUCUGUUGAAAAUCCACAAUUUUGGAUUUAAAGCAAGUGCAUUCUAAUUCAGAAACCAAAAGAGAACUCACCAGAAGAACAAUCUGUCCUUGUCCAAAUCUUGAAUAAAGUUGGAGAGCUCAACUAAAAGGAAGGAGCUCAAAAUCCAAGAGGAGAUUCACCAAACCAGAAGCAUAAGAAACCAGCAGUAACUGAGAAAAUGGAACUGUGGACACCAGCAGUAACCAAAAAGAUGGUACUGCAAAAUGGCCAAGAGAAAACCUGAGGUGGGUCCCACUAGCAGUUCCCAAAAUGGACUGUAG